UAUUUUUUUUGUAGAAUACGAAUGGCAUAUUACCGAGGAAAAUCUAAUGAAAACGGGGUUGUUCGUUGCAAAUGCAAUGAAAUAGCUAUGUUAAGAGUUUCACGUCAACCACGUUCUGAAGGGAUGCAAUUUUAUAGCUGUCUGAAAUAUCGAAACGAAAAGAAAAAUUAUUGUAACUUUUUUUAAUGGGUAGAUAAGAAUGAAGCAAAAGAUAGAGAACUAUUGU
rnacentral:lncRNA from 1 species